rnacentral:rRNA from 1 species
GGACGAACGCUGGCGGUAUGCUUAACACAUGCAAGUCGAACGAGAAGGAAGAGCUUGCUCUUCCUGAAAGUGGCGAACGGGUGAGUAACGCGUGGGUAACCUACCCUUUGGAAAGGAAUAGCCUCGGGAAACUGGGAGUAAUGCCUUAUAAGAUACGUUUGUCGCAUGGCAUUUGUAUUAAACGCUCCGGCGCCAUAGGAUGGACCCGCGUCCCAUUAGCUAGUUGGUGAGAUAACAGCUCACCAAGGCCACGAUGGGUAACCGGUCUGAGAGGGCGAACGGUCACACUGGAACUGAGACACGGUCCAGACUCCUACGGGAGGCAGCAGUGGGGAAUAUUGCGCAAUGGGGGCAACCCUGACGCAGCAAUACCGCGUGAGUGAAGAAGGUUUUCGGAUCGUAAAGCUCUGUUAUUGGGGAAGAAAAAAAGACGGUACCCAAGAAGAAAGUUCCGGCUAACUACGUGCCAGCAGCCGCGGUAAUACGUAGGGAACAAGCGUUGUCCGGAUUUACUGGGCGUAAAGGGCACGCAGGCGGUUUUUUAAGUCAGAUGUGAAAGGCCACAGCUCAACUGUGGACAUGCAUUUGAAACUGAAAGACUUGAGUAUUGGAGAGGCAAGUGGAAUUCCUAGUGUAGCGGUGAAAUGCGUAGAUAUUAGGAGGAACACCGGUGGCGAAGGCGGCUUGCUGGACAAAUACUGACGCUGA